CCUACGGGAGGCAGCAGUAGGGAAUAUUGCUCAAUGGGGGAAACCCUGAAGCAGCAACGCCGCGUGGAGGAUGAAGGUUCUCGGAUUGUAAACCCCUUUUGUUAGAGAAGAUAAUGACGGUAUCUAACGAAUAAGCACCGGCUAACUCCGUGCCAGCAGCCGCGGUAAUACGGAGGGUGCAAGCGUUACUCGGAAUCACUGGGCGGAAAGAGCGCGGAGGCGGGAUAGCAAGUCAGAUGUGAAAACCUAUGGCUUAACCAUAGAACUGCAUUUGAAACUGUUAUUCUAGAGUAUGGGAGAGGUAGGUGGAAUGCUUGGUGUAGGGGUGAAAUGCGUAGAGAUCAAGAGGAAUACUGAUUGCGAAGGCGACCUGCUAGAGCAUAACUGACGCUGAUGCGCGAAAGCGUGGGGAGCAAACAGGAUUAGAUACCCCAGUAGUC
rnacentral:rRNA from 1 species